rnacentral:tRNA from 1 species
GGACGUAGUUCAAUGGUAGAACCUCAGCCUUCCAAGCUGAUGGUGUCAGUUCGAUUCUGAUCGUCC